UUCAUUGGCUUUAUAGAAGGGACUGACCUGAAUAGAGUGUCUUUCUGCAGAAUAUCAAAAAUAUAUAAGAUAUUGUAACCUAAUAUUAUUAUUUUCAUGGCUCCCAAUCUUCAUGACCGAAUUAAAUUCAUAUCUAAAGAAUCUCAACCAAUGCACUAGAAGAAGAUAGACACCUACAUUACGGGCUGCUCUUUCAACGCCCACAAUAAAGAGUCCAUGGGCCUGAACAACCCCACGUUCUAGGAUAACCAAACACUGGUUCAGUUUUAUUUAUUCCCAAUGUGCGAGUGUCUUGAUUCGUCUUAUGAUAACAUGUGGUUUAUUUCUUUUCUUAAUCCGACUUCUAUUUAGAAAAAAAAUAUACAUACUUGGCAGAAAUUAAGUGUUGGAAUAGAAAAUCCAAAACGAGUUGAAAUCUGAUAAAUGGAAACAGAGACAAACGAAGUGAUAAUUAUAAAUCCUUAAUUAUGAAGUUACAUGGCAAUCCUCAUUUUACAGUCGAGAAAUGCUUCAUGCUUCAAUAUAGUAU
rnacentral:lncRNA from 1 species